rnacentral:rRNA from 1 species
GCGAACGCUGGCGGCAGGCCUAACACAUGCAAGUCGAACGGCAGCACAAGAGAGCUUGCUCUCUGGGUGGCGAGCGGCGGACGGGUGAGGAAUGCAUCGGAAUCUGCCCAUUUGUGGGGGAUAACCUCGGGAAACCGGGACUAAUACCGCAUACGACCUACGGGUGAAAGCAGGGGAUCUUCGGACCUUGCGCAGAUGGAUGAGCCGAUGCCGGAUUAGCUAGUUGGAGGGGUAAAGGCCCACCAAGGCGACGAUCCGUAGCUGGUCUGAGAGGAUGAUCAGCCACACUGGGACUGAGACACGGCCCAGACUCCUACGGGAGGCAGCAGUGGGGAAUAUUGGACAAUGGGCGCAAGCCUGAUCCAGCCAUGCCGCGUGUGUGAAGAAGGCCUUCGGGUUGUAAAGCACUUUUGUUGGGAAAGAAAAGCAGCCGGUUAAUACCCGGUUGUCAUGACGGUACCCAAAGAAUAAGCACCGGCUAACUUCGUG